rnacentral:rRNA from 1 species
UAAUGGGGGAGGUCUAACCAUGCAAGUCGAGGGGUAGAAAGAGCUUGCUUUUUUGAGACCGGCGCACGGGUGAGUAACGCGUAUGCAACCUACCUUAUACAGGGGAAUAGCCCGAAGAAAUUCGGAUUAAUGCUCCAUGGUUUAUCGAUAUGGCAUCGUAUUGAUAAUAAAGAUUUAUCGGUAUAAGAUGGGCAUGCGUAUCAUUAGCUAGUUGGUGUGGUAACGGCAUACCAAGGCAACGAUGAUUAGGGGUCCUGAGAGGGAGAUCCCCCACACUGGUACUGAGACACGGACCAGACUCCUACGGGAGGCAGCAGUGAGGAAUAUUGGUCAAUGGAGGCAACUCUGAACCAGCCAUGCCGCGUGCAGGAUGACGGUCCUAUGGAUUGUAAACUGCUUUUGUACAGGAAGAAACCUCCCUACGAGUAGGGACUUGACGGUACUGUAAGAAUAAGGAUCGGCUAACUCCGUGCCAGCAGCCGCGGUAAUACGGAGGAUCCGAGCGUUAUCCGGAAUUAUUGGGUUUAAAGGGUUCGUACGCGGUCAUAUAAGUCAGUGGUGAAAUUUCUUAGCUAACCUAAGACACAGCCAUUGAUACUGUUUGACAUGAAUACUAUGGAAGUAACUAGAAUAUGUACGGUAUCGGGUGAAAUGCUUAGAUCUUGCAUGGGAAUACCCCUUGCAAASGCAGGUGACGACGGGAUCUCCUUUGACGGCCUAUGACCGAAAGAGUGSAGGCGCCGUCUGGACACUUCAUACUCCUGACUCGGAAACCAUACUCAAUGAUGGUUUCGUACUCUAUCGGGAUAUCGCAGCUGUACUCGAAUGCGCUGAAGGUUUAUAACGUCAUCCCAUCCUAGUCUGGAUACCAAACCUCGUUCAUGUAACCUCGUAUAUAAAUCUAAUAGGCCCCCCACAUGAAAGCCUAAGAAUAGUUU